rnacentral:rRNA from 1 species
UCCUGCAGUUUUCGUAUUGAACCUAAGCAAGGUUGAGCAUGGCCAGUACCUGGAUGGAAGACCUCCUGGGGAAAACUAAGGUUGCUGCUGGAA